rnacentral:rRNA from 1 species
CAUGCAAGUCGAGGGGCAGCAUAAUGGUAGCAAUACUAUUGAUGGCGACCGGCGGACGGGUGCGUAACGCGUAUGCAACCUACCCUUUACAGGGGGAUAACACUGAGAAAUCGGUACUAAUACCCCAUAAUAUUCUGGGAGGCAUCUUUCGGGGUUGAAAGCUUUGGUGGUAAAGGAUGGGCAUGCGUUGUAUUAGCUAGUUGGUAAGGUAACGGCUUACCAAGGCGACGAUACAUAGGGGGACUGAGAGGUUAACCCCCCACAUUGGUACUGAGACACGGACCAAACUCCUACGGGAGGCAGCAGUGAGGAAUAUUGGUCAAUGGACGGAAGUCUGAACCAGCCAUGCCGCGUGCAGGAAGACGGCUCUAUGAGUUGUAAACUGCUUUUGUACGAGGGUAAACGCAGAUACGUGUAUCUGCCUGAAAGUAUCGUACGAAUAAGGAUCGGCUAACUCCGUGCCAGCAGCCGCGGUAAUACGGAGGAUCCAAGCGUUAUCCGGAUUUAUUGGGUUUAAAGGGUGCGUAGGCGGUUUAGUAAGUCAGCGGUGAAAUUUUGGUGCUUAACACCAAACGUGCCGUUGAUACUGCUGGGCUAGAGAGUAGUUGCGGUAGGCGGAAUGUAUGGUGUAGCGGUGAAAUGCUUAGAGAUCAUACAGAACACCGAUUGCGAAGGCAGCUUACCAAACUAUAUCUGACGUUGAGGCACGAAAGCGUGGGGAGCAAACAGGAUUAGAUACCCUGGUAGUCCACGCAGUAAACGAUGAUAGCUCGUUGUCGGCGAUACACAGUCGGUGACUAAGA